rnacentral:tRNA from 1 species
GGCUGGGGCUCAGUGGCACAGCGCUCGCCUAGCACAUGUGAGGCACUGGGUUCAAUCCCCUGCGCCA